rnacentral:lncRNA from 1 species
CUAGACACCAUGAAAUGAAGAGCCUCCUCUUCCAUAAACAGCUGGACUCCUCAGAGGCCCACUGCAACGGAGUCACAAUGAUUGAGGCCUCAGAAACCAUGUGUGGGUCGGGGUGCUCAUUCUCAGAAGCAAGCAUCCCAUCCACAGCCCUGGAGCAGCUGUGGAGGCAAACUUAAAAUGCCCAAGAGGGCACUCUGAAUAUGCUCCACACCCUUGGAAGUCUACCACAUUCCUCUCUGAAGAGCUGUGUCUAUGAAUGAUGCAAACAGAAUCUUUGCAGGAAGUGUGCUACCGGGCUCUGAGCAGUCAGUGGGGAGGCAAACAGAUGCCAUAGCAUGCUACAUGGAGAUCAGAAGACAACCAGCAUUAUUUAGUUUUCUCACCACACCAUGUGGAUCGUGGGACUCAAUUAAGGUUAUCAGGUUUGGCUGAAAGAACGUUUACCCAAUGAGUGAUGUCUCCAGCACCACCUCCUUAUAUUUCAGGACCAUGUGAUUCCCAUCAUGCACCAUGAAAAAAUGCAAGUGUAUCAGUUAGGAGUUGCUUAUGAGGUAAGGCUGCUCUGAGAGAUCCUGGGCUGAGAGCUGAAGCAGCAGGGUUCAUAAAAACCAGAGCCAAUGUGAGUCUGCCAGCUUGGGGCUCGGGAUCCAUCUAAAGACUACAGGGUCAAGAAAAGCCACAGAUAGAGGGAAGAGCCAUAGGACACACUGGGACCACUAAGGAGGAACUGUUUUCUGGCCAUCUUUACUGAUGUCCAGUCAGACAGUCUGUAGGCUACAAAGCUGAUGUGCUUGACCACGGAGUUAGCAUGAGGCCAAUAUCCUUAUUCGUGUCUGUAGAUGUAGCUGGAAAAGGAAUUCCUGCAAGUAGAAUUGCUGGGCCAGGGGACAUAUUCACUUGUUAUUUGCUAGAUAUUAUGAAUUUUCCCUCCAAAGGUGGUUGUACCAAUUCAUAUUCCUGUCAAUUAUGCAUGAAGAUGAAGGUUACCUGAUACAGGCAUUGGCAGAACACAUUAUCUUACUUAAAAAAAAAAAACUUUAAAAUUCAAUUUAUAAAAACAACAUAAUAUAUAAUUGAGAUCUUACUCUGUAUUUCUUUUCAUAAGAUGCAUGUUUAACAUUUGUAAAUGUUAAAUCCAUUUGUAUUUUUGUCUUACUGCAUUAGCAAUUUUCUCUCGUAUUCAUUUAUCAGUCUAUACACGUUUAAUGUGAGUUCACCA